AUUUAGAGGAAGUAAAAGUCGUAACAAGGUCUCCGUUGGUGAACCAGCGGAGGGAUCAUUACCGAGUUUACAACUCCCAAACCCAAUGUGAACGUUACCAAACUGUUGCCUCGGCGGGAUCUCUGCCCCGGGUGCGUCGCAGCCCCGGACCAAGGCGCCCGCCGGAGGACCAACCAAAACUCUUUAUGUAUACCCCCUCGCGGGUUUUUUACAAUCUGAGCCAUCUCGGCGCCCCUCGUGGGCGUUUCGAAAAUGAAUCAAAACUUUCAACAACGGAUCUCUUGGUUCUGGCAUCGAUGAAGAACGCAGCGAAAUGCGAUAAGUAAUGUGAAUUGCAGAAUUCAGUGAAUCAUCGAAUCUUUGAACGCACAUUGCGCCCGCCAGUAUUCUGGCGGGCAUGCCUGUCCGAGCGUCAUUUCAACCCUCGAACCCCUCCGGGGGGUCGGCGUUGGGGAUCGGCCCUUUACGGGGCCGGCCCCGAAAUACAGUGGCGGUCUCGCCGCAGCCUCUCCUGCGCAGUAGUUUGCACACUCGCAUCGGGAGCGCGGCGCGUCCAUUGCCGUAAAACACCCAACUUUCUGAAAUGUUGACCUCGGAUCAGGUAGGAAAA
rnacentral:misc_RNA from 1 species